rnacentral:rRNA from 1 species
UUUCCAAAUAGGGAGGAAAAGAAACCAACAGGGAUUGCCUCAGUAACGGCGAGUGAAGCGGCAAAAGCUCAAAUUUGAAAUCUAGCACCUUCGGUGUUCGAGUUGUAAUUUGAAGAUGGUAACCUUGGGUUUGGCUCUUGUCUAUGUUCCUUGGAACAGGACGUCAUAGAGGGUGAGAAUCCCGUCUGAUGAGAUGCCCAUUCCUAUGUAAGGUGCUAUCGAAGAGUCGAGUUGUUUGGGAAUGCAGCUCUAAGUGGGUGGUAAAUUCCAUCUAAAGCUAAAUAUUGGCGAGAGACCGAUAGCGAACAAGUACAGUGAUGGAAAGAUGAAAAGAACUUUGAAAAGAGAGUGAAAAAGUACGUGAAAUUGUUGAAAGGGAAGGGCAUUAGAUCAGACUUGGUGUUUUACGAUUAUCUUCUCUUCUUGAGUUGUGCACUCGUAUUUCACUGGGCCAGCAUCGAUUCGGAUGGCAAGAUAAUGGCAGUUGAAUGUGGCUUCACUUCGGUGGAGUGUUAUAGCUUCUGCUGAUAUUGCCUGUCUGGAUCGAGGGCUGCGUCUUUUGACUAGGAUGCUGGCGUAAUGAUCUAAUGCCGCCCGUUUAAAAACCAGGGGC